AAUAUUUCUUAAGCACGAUGUGAUAAGACUCGAAUGUAGAAAAACUUGCAAUUCGAAAUUUAGAGUUUUAUAUUUUAUUUAGACCAAUAACAAUGUUGUUUGAUAAGAAAGUCGAUAAAAAAAGGUCAUUUUAAUAAGCGUGGAUAAAUGAUCGAUAUCGUUACUUUUCUUGCCGGCACAAGAAAGUAAAAAAUUAUAAUAAUCUAAAGUAUUACUGUGUUCUUUAACGGCGAAUGUACAAAAACAGACAUUUGUUGGAAUGUUCGGCCACGUGUAUUUCAUGUCAACCAUUGUGUUUACUAUUGACUUUGUAGGUU